UACGUAGGGUGCAAGCGUUAAUCGGAAUUACUGGGCGUAAAGCGUGCGCAGGCGGUUUUGUAAGUCUGUCGUGAAAUCCCCGGGCUCAACCUGGGAAUUGCGAUGGAGACUGCAAGGCUAGAAUCUGGCAGAGGGGGGUAGAAUUCCACGUGUAGCAGUGAAAUGCGUAGAGAUGUGGAGGAACACCGAUGGCGAAGGCAGCCCCCUGGGAUAACACUGACGCUCAUGCACGAAAGCGUGGGGAGCAACAGG
rnacentral:rRNA from 1 species